rnacentral:lncRNA from 10 species
CAGUAACAUGAUACCUCCAGCGAACCAAAUCCACUCAAAUUGCUGCCAAUGAGCCAACUCUUUCUGCUCCACGAAGUCAUAAUGAAUUCUCCAAUGAAGUAGGGCACUUUUCAUGGUGCAUUUUAUCAAUGUAGUGGCACAGCAUGCCAAAGAUUUUCAUUAAAAUAAAAAGUAAAAGAAAAAAGAAAAAUCUCUUACAGAUUUUUUAUGAAAACAGCCCUUUCAGUGUUCAUUCUCAGGCUGCCUUCUUAGUUGGCUUUAAGGGUAGAUCCACGGGUACUAUUGGUGUACAUCCCACUCCUGAAAGUUGAGCACUGAUCUUCCACCAAGCUGGAGGGAUUUGACUCUGGCCUAAGCAUGAAAAGCCCUCACCAGAAGCUGAGCAGAUGCAGGUGCCAUGCUUCUUCAACUUCCCAGGCUACAGACCAUGAACUGAAUAAACCCCUUUUCUUUAUGAAUUAAUC